UACAUUUUCAUUUAAUCUGAACAGACAUCCAGGACGUGUUUUGACAUUAAAUUCCUGCGCUACAUAAGUAGUUUGUGCACAGUCUACAUCAACCCUUCAACACGCACAGAAGGUCAACUUGAGAAAGGGAAUGCGGAAUACACAAAGGACCAAACCAGGCGCACACCUACAUCGAAAAUGUUGUCCGACAUUCUGGAAAGACUGGCAGAGAAGAUUUUCUCCUACAAGGCGUACCCCAGUGAUGCAGACCUGAGUGACGUUGCGGAGGCUCUGACAAGGAAACAUCCCUGCUUAAGGCAACCAGACUCCUUCAAUGAGAGCUACGGAUGGAAACUCAGACUAAAGACUAAGAUGAGCCUGACAUCAAGAACCUCUUGGAAAGAUGGCCAGGUCUAUUUCAGAUGGAAGAGGUAUAACUUUAACUUUUUUGUACUAAUGCCUUUUAUCAUAGUUUGGAAAUGGGAAAUAUAUGUUUUGACUUUUUCUUGUUGGAAGUUGGUCUUUAAAAAAAUGUAUUGUACACUGUCUACUCAUGUACAGAUUAAUGCAGAGUUUCUGCGGGUUACUGCAGUUCCCCUGCUAACCAGAUUCAUGGCCAAUCAAACCAAUCAAAAUGAACCACAGACAGAGCAAAGUACAAAAACACACAUAUAUCGCGAUUGUUGUUGUUCUUCGGGCUGUGACGUUGCGGACAAAGACUUUUGCGCGCGACUUUUCAUAGCCAGAUGGGUUCGCCCCUGUUCCCAGUUACGUCCGCUUUAUGUUUCCACCGCAACAAGCGAUUUCAUCCGCGCUAAACUGAACUGCUCUCAAGCGCACCGUGCCGAUUUGUCGGUGGAAAAGGGGCAUUAGUCACCUCAUGAGGAUAGAGAGGUGAAAAAAAAUUCCUUUCACGCAGCAUGCUCUCCAUAUUGCAUAGUAACAAUUUUAACUGUUCCUGCAGGAUGCUGAUGCUGACAUUAGGAGGGAGUGUAUACUUAAAUCUCUCAUUAUCUACCUUGGAGAACGUGUUGAGGACUUGAUAAAAGAAUACAUGGUAUGUCCAUAUCUGU